GACGAACGCUGGCGGCAGGCCUAACACAUGCAAGUCGAGCGGACCUUUCCUGGUCAGCGGCGGACGUGGGGGUGACGCGUGGGAAUAUGCCCUUCUCUACGGUAUAGUCCUCUGUAACUGGGGUUAAUACCGUAGACGCCCUUUGGGGGAAGGAUUUAUCGGGGCAGGAUUAGCCCGCGUUGGUUUAGGUGGUUGGUGGGGUAAUGGCAUACCAAGCAGACGAUCCAUAGCUGGUUUGUGAGGAUGAUAAUCCACAAUGGGACUGAGACACGGCCCAGACUGCUACGGGAAGGAGGAGUGGGGAAUAUUAGACAAGGGGGGCAACCGUGAUCUAGCCAUGCCGGGUGAGUGAUGAAGGCCGUAGGGUUGUAAAGCUCUUUCAGCUGGGAAGAUAAUGACGGUACCAGCAGAAGAAGCACCGGCUAACUACGUG
rnacentral:rRNA from 1 species